rnacentral:misc_RNA from 1 species
UAAGGAACAACCCUCCAUGG